CUUUUCCACAUUUGUUACUUUUUGUCUUUUUCUUUUGACAUAGGGUCUUGCUCUGUCACCCAGGCUAGAGUACAGUGGUAUGUUCAUGGCUCCCUGCAUUUUUUAAUCUUUUUGAUAAUAGCCUAAUUGAGGUGAUAUGAAACCAGAACCCAGACCAAGAAACUGAAUUUGGUAUAUUUUGAAGUUUUGUGUAUUUAUUUCUGAAUAGUAAAUUCAUUUAUUCAACAAAUACUUUUUGAGUGUGGUUACUGCCUGCCAACCAUUGUUUAGUUAUUUGGAUGACGUCACAGUGGUGAACUAAAGCAGAAUUACGGCAUAGGGAGAUAAACAUCAACUAAUUAUACAAUUAAGUGUGUAAUUAUAACCCAGUAUGAACACCGAAGGUACAUUGUCCUGUGCAAGGCAGUAUAACUAGGUAGUCUGUAUUGUAUUAUAUGUUGAGGAAUAAAAGGUAGACUUUGGAGUCAUACUGCUUAAGUUCAGAUCUUAUUGCCAUAUCUGGUAUUAGUGUGACUUUUAGGCAAGUGUCUCUAGGCCUCAUUUAUUAACAUGGGAUCAAUAAUAGUAAUACCUACCUUAUACAAUUGUUAUGGAGAUUAAAAUAGCUUAUUCAUACAGAAUAUUACCACAAUAUUGUAGGUUCUCUGUAUAGUAUUAGUAAUUAUUAAUUUUGUGUCAGUGGUGGUGUUUUAUAUGUAACAUUUGAAGAUGAUCAGAAUAUUUCAUACAGUAGGUUCUGGUCUUAGAUUGCAGAUCAAAUAAUCCAAACAGAUAAAAGAAUCUAGUUGCAUGACACCUGGCAGUCUUUAUAGCAUGUUUCACAUUUUAGCGAGCAUAAGAAUCACUGGGGUACUUCUUAUAAAUGCAUAUUACUGUGGGCAGCUUUCUGGGGACACUUGACUCUGGAAUUGAUAUUUUUAUGAUAAUCUAUAUAUAUUUUUAAGAACAUAGGCUUGAAAACGGAUAGCCUGUAAAUGUGGUUUAAAAUAAUUUUUUAAUUAAACAUAAUUUUUUAAAAUUAUUUUUUAAUUUUAGAAACAGGGUCUUGCUCUGUCACCCAAACUGGAGGUGGAGUCCAGUGGAAUGAUCAUAGCUCACUGCAGCCUUGAACUCCCAGGCUCUAGGGCCCCCAGUAUCGGAGUAGCCAAGCCUGACUAAUAUAAGUGUUUUUGAUACAGUACCAAAUAGCCAAUUAUUUUGUCUUAUUAUUUUAACAUUUAACAAAUUAUAUGUUAUAUGUUAUUUAACAUAUUUAACAUAUAACAUUGUAAAUAUUAACAUUAUUUAAUAUAUAACAUUGUAAGGUUUGUUGUUAUUUACUUUUGGUGCAUAAGCUUACUAUAGCUGGUAGAAAAUUUCCCCCAAAUCUGUACUUGCUCUAGGAUUCCCUGUUAGUGAGUAGAAUCAUACAUCAAUUUGCCCAAUCCAGAAAUCUGGAAUUCAUCCUUGAUUCUGUCGUCUGUCUUUCCUCCAUCUCUAAGCCAUUACUAAGUUUCCUGGUUAUAAAAUUUUUUUAACCUCUACUUAAACUUGCCUUUGUCCUCUUCUGCAGUUCACUCUCCAAAGUUGUAUUUCUGAAGCACAAAUAACUGAUCAUGCCAUUCACUUGCAUAAAUGCCUUCCUUAACAAUUAACUAUUGCCCAAAGAUAUAAGAUAACUUAACUUAGAAAAAUAUAAGUUAACAUAACAUACCUUAGAAAGCUGUUGGAAUCUAGCUCUGUUUUCAUUUGUUCUCUAUCCUGUUUUCUGGGGACUUAGAAUUUCUUGCUGUUUCUUGAGUUAAUUGAGAAAAAUACCAUGUUUUUUCACAUUUCCAUGUUAAUGUGCAUAUUACUUUUCACAUUUUAUAUGCCUACAGGAUGUAUUGCCUAUUGUCAAGAAUAAAUUCCAGCGUUAAGUAUCUUCAGAUAACGUUUGUGCCACUUACUCUCUUGCUCAGUAUUUCUUUUAACCACUGUUUAUUGACAACCCACCACAUGCCUGGCAUUGUGCCAGAGGUGCAUCUGUAAAUGGACAGACAGGUUUCCUGUUCUCAUUUGUCUUAUACUAGUGAAAUCUCUGUCAAACACUCUCUUUUUGUUUUGUUUGCAUGGUAUUUACCACCAACCUGUCUGUUAUAUUACUGUUAGAUUUAUAUCCCUCUUUUUUCCCAUUUAAUUUUGAGCUCCAGGAAUUAGAUCAUAUAUUUAUUAAUGUUUCUCUCCUAGCAGUUAGCACAGUAUAUGGCAGAUGAAGAGCAUUGAAAUUUAUGACUGAAUAAAACACAGAAAUCGAAAUACCCUUGUAGAUAUACAGAGCUGUUCCUGGGAAAGAUCAUAACUGUGCUUUAUAGUAUAGGUUUAUUUUGAAAAAUUAUAUAAAUAAGAACAUUAUUAAAUAAAAUCUAGGGGAAUACCUGUGUUCCUCAGUAUUGAUAUUGUCAAUGUUACUUUUUUUGAAAAAGAACCUUGGGAGGACCAUUGUUUGAAGUUAAAUUUUAAAUAUUUACAUAUUUUAAGCUGUAAACUUAUAUAAAUUUAUAUUCUAAGUAUAUGAAUUAAAAUACUAAUUAUAGCUUCUAAUUAUUAAAAUUAUACAACUUUUAAUAGAUGUUCUGUUCAAAUGAAUUACUACUACAUCUAGCUUACUUUCUUUUAGUGUUGUAUACCUAGAUUGAUCCUCGUUUAUAUUUGACAGUUACAAUAUAUAAUAACAUGCUGAUAAAUCAAUUAAAGACGUGGCUUUUGUUAAUAGAAUUUUAAGACCAUCACAGGAGUGGCCUGGUAGAUGUCACUUGUUUAAUUUAUCCAAAGGUACAGAAUGAUAAACUGUCAACAAGAACUUUUUUUUCUUGUCAUUGGUUAUAACCUUUGCUCCUUGAAAUAAUUCGGAGUGAGCAAUUCUUUAGAAUUAUAGAAAGGAAGAUGUUUUUGUGUACACAGAAAGAGGAAAGUAUAAAAUGAAGUAAGUUUAUAAUCCAGAAUUGAAGUGGGAGGGAAAUAGGUCUCAAUCCCUGGGUCAUGGAGAAAAAGUUAUUUAUUUAUAAAACAUAUAUGUAUUUGUUUUUCAACCUUUAGUUUUGGUGGGUACAUGUGCAGGUUUGUUACAUGGUUAAGUUGCAUGUUGCUGAGGUUCAGUGUACAGAUGUUCCCAUUACCCAGGUAGUGUGCAUAGUACCUGAUAGGUUGUUUUUCAGUGCUUACUCCUCUUUCCUCUUCCCCUACUAGUCCGCCGUGUUUCUUUUUACCAUCUUUAGGGAAGUCAAUUUUAAUAUGUUAAAGUCAGCAGAAAUUGCCAUAACUCUUCCUGCCAUCAUUAUUAUAAGAGUAGGACACUGGUACAAGAAGCCAACAACACAAGUUUUUAAAAAUUUUUAUAUUUAUUUAUUUAUUUAACCUCAACAACACAAUUUUAGUCUCUGGGAGGAGAUAAUGGAGCAGAUAUAGUCCUGGGAAAAACAGACACUGCCGUUGAAGUUUAUACUUAAGGUGAUCAUAUUAUUUAUAGCUAUUAUUUAUAAUACAACCUGGGAUACUUUGGGAAGUGAAAAUAGAUGAUAUUAACAAUUACAGUGGUACACUAGCUGUUAACUGGAACCCUGACAAAUCAGAUAUAUGUAAUAUAUAUGCUAUAAUGUUGGUAUGAAGAAUGUAUCAUAACAGUAUAGAGAAGUGGCUUUGUAGGUUAGGAAAAACCUUUACAUCUAGUCUGAGCUAGACUUCUGAAGAAUGACAAGGUUGUUCCCCAAGUUGGGUUGAGAAACAAAGGGCAUUCCAGGUUAAAGGGACCUAGUACCAUCUUGCUGUUUGUAUUGCUCUGUCUCUGUUCAUAUCAUUUCUCUGUUCAUAUCAUUGCCUCUCACGAAGUGCUUCGUGGUUUGCUGAUUUUCUGAAACAGCUAUGAAACAUCCAGUUGAUUGAUCGUACUUCAGGUUUACCUACCCAGGCACUGGUUCUCACAGCACUUUUUGCUCAUGAACCUUAAUGUGUGACUCCCUAUAUUCUCAUGUCUGCCUUUAUGAUCUUGGGGGUAGUAGCUUGCCCUGUGUCCUCAUUUCUCUUACAAUUCAGAAGAGUUGUUGAUUUUUCAGUUUGAUCAGGUUUUUACUUGUCGUUAGAAUGAUGUGAUGACUUCCAGGCUCCUUUCGUGUGGAACCAGAAAUGAAGUCCAUGUUCAGUUUUUAGUAUGAUAAACUUAACAUUUAAGAAACAUUAUAACCCAGUUAAAUUGAUUGACUUGCCACUGUAGUUGAUUGACAGGUUUUUCUGUCAAUCAUUUUUGCCAUUGUAUUUAUAUUUAAAAUAUACCAAUGAUCAAAAGAUUAUUACAUGCUUCAGUUGCUUGAGAGAAAACAUUGUUAUUUUGAGUGUGUAAAGGGAAGAUAAUACUUGUUCUCUGCAUUCCAGAUGAUUACACCAGAACAAAUAAACAAUUACACAGGGGCAGAUUUUGGCAUCAGUAUAAGAAAAAAUGUUCUAUUUCUCUAUCCAAAGAUGGAAUACUUCCUCUUGGCAACUUUUGACUUGCUCUGCCUUAGUGUUAUUUUACUAUAAACUAGAGGCCCUCAGGAGAUGCUAUCCUUGGGAUAGAGCCUUUCUCUACUAAAUUAUAUAACUUUUUGAAAUUAAUAAUUGUUAGAAUUUCAGGAAAUGUUAGAUUGUUUAAAGCAAUGCUUUUCUCAUCUUUUGGACCUGUGGAUAAGGGUGAGAAGAUGUACUGCCAGUGUCUUUGCUGGUGGAGACCAUUUUGCUUCUAGCUUUUGCAAAGUAAUGCUAACUAUAGUAAUCUUCAUAUACAUUUAGUCAUAUCUGCUUACAUUAAUCAUAGAUUAUAUUAAAGACAUAAUUACAUAUCAGAUUUGUGUAAUUGUUUAAUUUUGUUAUAGUGUUGAAGCCAUGUAUGUAUCCAACUUUUCUAGAUGGGUAUGUAUGUUGCUUAUGUGGUAUUUGUUUACAUGUAUUCAAAAGUACAUCAUAGAAUACAUUGUUCAGCUCUACUCCUACUUCAGUUUCUCUUUGAAAUUUUCAGGAAGGUUGAUAAAAUGAUAAAAAUUAGAUUUGUACAGUUAAUCUUGCAGUGGCUUGGAGAUUGGAUUAGAAUAAAGAGAGGUAAUAUAAGCACAGGGAAUUAAUUUAUUACGCAGCUUUUGCCAUAAUUUAAAUGAGUUAGAAGAGCAAUUGAAAUGUGGUUGUGGUUGAUAGAAUUUAAAAAAA